UACGGGGGGGGCAAGCGUUGUUCGGAAUUACUGGGCGUAAAGGGCUCGUAGGCGGCCAACUAAGUCAGACGUGAAAUCCCUCGGCUUAACCGGGGAACUGCGUCUGAUACUGGAUGGCUUGAGAUUGGGGAGAGGGAUGCGGAAUUCCAGGUGUAGCGGUGAAAUGCGUAGAGAUCUGGAGGAACACCGAUGGCGAAGGCAGCCUUCUGGGCCAACACUGACGCUCAUGCACGAAAGCGUGGGGAGCAAACAGG
rnacentral:rRNA from 1 species